UCCUCACUUUUCAGUAUCUCUUUUCCUAAAAUCCUCUUUUAUCUGCUGCUGAAAGAUGAGCUUAGGUACUUUCCUGCUCAUUGUUUCAUUUACACUGGAAAGCUUGUGCCUUUUUGUUAUUGGCAGGCUUYAGUUUUAGAACCUGUGGUGGUAAUUUGGUAUCUUGCUGCCACUCAGCUUCAAUUGAAGCAUUUUGUUCCCUGGCAGYUGGAGGGUUUGGGGAUUGGUUGCUUUCCUGACAAGAAGGCAGUCGGUUACCAUCUGCUGUGUGCCYCAGAUCAUCUCUCAGGAAUAAUGGGGUUCUUUUUCUCUUGAUUCUGGUUGUUCUGUGCACUUGAAUUCAUCAUUGAGAAUGAGUUCUCUUAGGGAAUUGAGAAGUAUUAUGUGGCUUAGGAGCAGGAAUGUACACAGGAUGGCAGAGAUGCUAGUGCCAUCAGUGAAUACUUGCAGUGAUGACAAAUAUUUUCAUUCAGACUGACAGAGCUUCUGAAUGAAGAAGAGRUUCUGAACCAGAAGAAACAAAGAACAGAUGCAUCAUGAUGCAAGCAUAAGCAGUGAUCUCCAAAUGAUAAAAAAGACCUGUCUCCCAGCAGCCUGGAUGACCCUUGACUUGGCUGGAAAGGAAAUCAGCUUUUGGGUGCAGUCUUUCAGAGAACUGGCAACAGAUGAUGCGUUUAUCUCUGCUGACUUUACUCAUGACCACAUCUGAUAUAUUACUCAGUCGUUCUUCCAYGGCAAAGGAGUACUUUAACUUCCUUUUAUGUAAAAGGUAAAUKAAUGCAUGUGCUAGGAAACUAGGAAUAAUGCAGCUCUAAGCUCCUGGAUGGGCUCACAGAGACACAAGCUUUGCUGGCAACUUUCAG